GGGGAAUUUUCCGCAAUGGGCGAAAGCCUGACGGAGCAAUACCGCGUGCGGGAGGAAGGCCCUUGGGUCGUAAACCGCUUUUAACAGGGAAGAAGAUCUGACGGUACCUGNUUGAAUAAGCCUCGGCUAACUCCGUGCCAGCAGCCGCGGUAAGACGGAGGAGGCAAGCGUUAUCCGGAAUUAUUGGGCGUAAAGCGUCCGCAGGUGGCCUGCCAAGUCUGCUGUUAAAGCCCAGGGNCUCAACCCUGGUAUCAGCAGUGGAAACUGGUAGGCUAGAGUGCGGUAGGGGCAGAGGGAAUUCCCAGUGUAGCGGUGAAAUGCGUAGAUAUUGGGAAGAACACCAGUGGCGAAGGCGCUCUGCUGGACCGCAACUGACACUCAUGGAUCAAAGCUAGGGGAGCGAAAGGGAUUAGAUACCCCUGNUAGUC
rnacentral:rRNA from 1 species